UGGAGAAAGAUAGAAAAAAAUUAAACACAGCAGGCAUUUAAUGAAAGCACAGACUGUACUAGUUUCUUAAAGGUAUUUCUGGUUUGGUGGAGCUUUAUAUAGUUUAUAGUAAAAACACAUUUCUUAAAAUGUUCCUGUUGCAAGUCUACUGAUAAUAUCAAAGUACGGUUCAUGAUAAAUAUAGGGACUAUACUGUUCUGCAAAAGGAAAUUUAAAAAUAUGACUAUAGUUUGCUAUAUAUGGUGAUUAGAUUGUUACCUCCCAAAGAGAUUAUUGUGUCUAAAACGCUGUCAAAUUUCAAAAUGUGAUUUGAAAAUCAAUCAUUCAUGUGUCU
rnacentral:lncRNA from 1 species